UCCCAGCUAGCACGCACGCCGCCUCAA
rnacentral:sRNA from 1 species